GACAACUGUUAGCCUUGCUAUCACCAUAGCAACGUGAUUAUGGUAAUCACAACAACAACAUGAUAGACAUCGGCAGCAACAGUGUGUCAGUGAUUACAGACGUAUACACAACCAUAACAUCACAACAUCAGAGAUACGUGUGUAGAACACCUUAGCCUAAACACUGCGACAGCACCACUACAGCCACAGCAAUACCAUCGACAAGAACACAGCUGCAAUAGAAUACUACAACCUAAACAAUACCGCAGUCACUACAAUAAAAAACAACUGUUGUCGUUACAAUUACAUAACAAGUAACGCAACAACACAAAACCACCCGCACGACAUAGUAACAGGGUGACCUCAACCACCAACCACCAACGUUGGGACGUCACAACCUUUAUGACAACAACAACAACAGCAACAACAUGGUAUUAACAAGAUUAGAACAAAUAAUAACCACAAUACUAGAGCUACUACAACUCCAACAGUGUAGCUACCACCACAACAAUAGCACGAUCAUCAGAAACUACGCAGGCAUCGCUUAAUUACAGUAACGCUCCCUCUUGUAACACUGCAUCACAACCACCACCUCGACGAUAACAGAGCCACUGUAGAUCACACCUGUUAUACUACCACCGCAACAGGAGAGCCAGAAGUAAAUUAGGUAAUACAGAAAGCGCAACAGAACAACGUUUAGAGGUUAGUUACAAUAGCCGCUACAAUACAGACUGAAUAACUUCAUCACUACAAGGCCACGCAAAUACUACCAGUAACAACAUUCACAACAUUACAACAACUAUAGAACAACCACAACAUUCCAACCACCACAACAUUCCAACCACCACAACAUUCCAACCACCACAACAUUCCAACCACCACAACAUUCCAACCACCACAACAUUCCAAUCACCACAACACAGUUUUACAGAAGAAAAUACGCGCUCCAAUAUUAAACGUCACAACAGCACAACCAAUUCACGAACAUAACACUGUUGCACAUACGACAUAACUACAACAUAACAUAGCAACAAAAACACCACAACCAGAACACCACAACGCAACCACAACAAUAUAUAUAUAUAUACAAUGUAGCCACUACAACACGGUCAAAAAUAACACUACAACACAUGCAACAGGCACAACGGAACACUACCGUGUGGCUAUCGCUGCCGCCACCACCGCAACAGCACAACAACAAUAACACGAACGAACCAAGAAGCGUGCCCCUAAGGUAGUCGCUAAAACUAGCCAAAUUCCCUUCAAAUUGCACAGUCUUACGUCAUGAAAUUCAGACAGGAUGGUUACGGCUGGAACGACGUUGAUGAUAAGUCUUCUCACUUAAAACUGACGUCGGGCUAAGCAACAAAUACAAACAAAACUAAACGGAUGAAAACAAAAACAAAACAACAGCAAUUCUAAAAGAUAUGUCAGCUAAAUAGAAACAUCGUUAAAAGACUUAUAUCUUCGACGUAUUCCGCAAUUCUGUUUUAUCUUUUUUUUUAAAUGUGCCCUGUUGGUACAGUUCUGGCAGUAGUAUGAAGUGGUGGUGUGUAGCUGCUGAUUGUAGUGGUUCUGGUGCUGUCAAGUGCGGCGGCGAGCUCGGUGGAAGAUGACGACGUUCUAUAACGGCUCCAGCUUCGGAAAACGGUCACUGAGACGCAGUGACUGUCAGCAUCUACCAUGAAUACCUGUCAGCAUCCUCCAUCACAUACACAGAGGGGCUCCAGCGUUGAUACCUGUCCCGUCCUUAAUUCUGUGGGCUCAGGAUUUACUCUACCUCUUCUUCCCCCCGACUUCCUUCAGCCGUUCUCUGAGAAAUGAUUCUGGACUGUAAGUCCGUGCAGUUUACGUGUCUGUGCAAGUCCUCUGUCUUAUCGCGCAACUCAUCACACAUCCACAAAAACGCGACCCACCCACUCCAACUGUCGGCCCUUAUGCCACUUCAAAUCAGCUGACUACUCGGAGAUCUGCCAGUGUUAUGACCAUACUUGGUUGUACAAGUGCUUCAUACAUGACCAGUCAGAAACAGCUUGAUCGGGAAUUAACUGUUAAUUAAUGCAGACUCUCAGUUUACCACUAGAAGAAAAGUACGGAUGAAGUGGAGGAAGGGGAGUAGGAGUCAGAAGAGAAAAAGAGGAGAAGAAGGAAGUAGAAGGAAUAAAUGAAGAAAAGGAAGAAACGUUUGCUACUAUGUCCAACUUAAGAUUCGCUUAGUUUCUUAGAAGACAUUUCAUCAUGGUCAUGUGACUGAUAAAAUUCGCAAAACGCUAUUUGAAUCGAAAUUCUGGACUCGGUGAUGGCUUAUAAAAUGGUUGCUCGGUGGUGAUAUGAAGCGAAUAUCCGAGAAGCGGCAUCAAUAGACAAUCGACGAAGCCGCUGGACAGUUAAGAUUCCAGCUGGAACUAUCAGAGAGGUGAUGCCAAUACAACGAUUGUGUGUACGUAGCCGUAUUUCUAUAUAAGUUGGUCAAUGGAGUAAGCGUUCAAAUAUUCUGAUGCCAUUUGUUGGUAAAAGGAAGACAUUUUUUUCUAAGUCUUCUUUCUAAUCACCAUAACUACCAAAUUUCCUUCUACUUGGUGCUCCAGUCCAUAGUCUACAGGAAAGAAAAUCCCUUUAUCUGUUCUCACUGGUUUUAAGAAACUAACAAUGGAGCCAUGACGCCAGAUAUUUCUAUCCAAACCACAACACACUUUUGUGAUGUGUCUCGUUCGCAAGUGUAUCCUGGGAUUUUCAAAGAGUCUUCAUUUGUCAAGUGAAGCAGAAUGAAUGUAACGCACUUCUGAAGAGAACCGGCUAAGUUUUAUAUCCCAACUUCCUGUUAUAUUCGAACUUGUGAAUGAAGAAAAUGAUGGGCUCGAUGCAGAAGCAACAAACCACCAUUGAUCCCUUGGCGAAGGAAGGGUCCAAACUGUUCGAUAUCCACAGAAAGCUGCAGGUUGUUACUGAAAUGACGCCACUGGCAAGAUGGACUCAUGUUUUUGUCGGAUAGCUUAUGGUCUGGAAAUGGAGAUUUGGUUCUCAGUGUGGCGUCAUACAUCUUCUCCGAAACCUAAGAAUUUCAACAGCGAGCGAUGGGCACAGAAAGUCACGGUGACUGUUCUUUGGGAUGGUAAAAGCGACAUUUUCCGUGAUUUUCUUUUGUAACGUGAACAGGUGUAUAGUGAGACAGAUAAAAACCUUAGUGAAGGCAUCAGGUGGAAGAGACCGAAGAAGAAUCUGGAAACGUUUCACAUUCACCGUAACGGUGUGUGACGACGUCUUUGGCAACGGAUCAAGUAUUCAGCGAACUGAACCAGUCAUGGUUCCCUGCGUCAACGUACAGCCUAGUUUGUCCCAUUUCGAUUUUCUUUUGUUCGAUGCACUGAAAGACAAUCGUGGAAGACGAGGAUUUGAUGACACAGACGAUGUCAAAAUGGCUGGGGAGAAGUUAGCACAAGAGUGCAUACCCUAAUUAUGACAACGAAGAUCUAAGGGUUGGGUUCAACGUUGGCGGAAGUGCACCGCUUGUAAUGGAGACUAUGGUGGAGUAAUAUCUGCGUAUAGAGAAAGAGUUACUCAACCAACAGAUACUCUUCGAAUGACCUUCGUCUGUUAAUAAGGGUUAUGCUCAUAUUUGCAUAAGAUUUUGGGACGACCCUUGUAUUUACAUAUCGAUGCAGAGACAUAUAGAGUGUCAUGCAUACAUACACACAAGCAUGCAUACAUACAUGCAUAUAAAUGGCAUAUAACAUUAACAUUAUACACACACAUAUGUACAUACACACACACACACACACACACACACACACACACACACACACACACACACACACACACACACACAUAUAUAUAUAUAUGUGUGUGUGUGUGUGUGCGCGUUUGUGUGUAUUUAUAUGAGCAUAUUGCGUAUAUAUAUAGAUAUACCAUAUUUUAAUAAUUAUGUAAUUAUUAAAAUAUUUGUAAAAUUUUUCUAUAAGGUUUUUAUUUCCGCGUUGAUCCACUGGUAAAAUCAAUAAUGAUUUCUGCCCUUUGUUAUAAUAGAUAUACCGUAGAUAUAUUCCGUUGGAAGCAAAUUUCUGUCGUAAUUAAAGAUUGGGAAAAUUAUUAAUAGAAUAAUUUCAUAUAAUUCACAAAUUGUUGAUCCCUCAGGUAUAAAAUUCUUCAUAUUUCGAAGCAAAGAAAUACUCAAUACCAUUUUCGCAAUUGAUAAUCUGGUUUCAUGCUAAAUAAUGUUGCAAUGACCUAAGACGAUGAUCGUCAGAUGCAUCAAGGUCAGGGAAGUAAGGUGGAUGAGGCAAAACUUCCAUAUUGAGUGCCAUAAUCUUCUCCUGAGUAGUUUGGGCAAAAUAUGGUCUUGCAUUAUUGUAUAAAAGAGACACCUCUUUACGACUGACAAAUGAUUGACGCGUUUUUCUGCAAAUUUUGUGCAAUGCUUUCAAUUGACAAUACUUAUCCGCAUUAACUGUUUCGUCUUGUUUUAGAAUCUCAUGAUAGACGACACCCUUCAUACCCCAUCAAACGUAGAGAAUACCCUUGUUUGGGUAUGUAUUCUGCUUUUACAUUGGCUGCUAUCUAUUGUCGUUUUCGCUUUUAUUAAUCCUCGUGUAGCUUGCUUUGGGUUUUCCUCAACAAUGACUUUCAGAAACUUAGUUAUUGACAGGCAUAUUGAGUGGGAAUUAUAAGAGAACAUUUUUCCGAGCGAGCCUGGCCAAACCAUUGUUGGCGUGUUUAGACAUUUAAUUCAGUGGUUCUCAAACAUCUUUUACCUAUGGCCUCCUCUGAUUACUAUUUUACUGUGGUAGACUUCCAUAGUCUCUCGGUAUUUAAAAACUUGUUUUAUUCAUACUUAUUUCAACAUUCCUGUUUUGUUUUUCAAACCUUAACCUGUGUAGUUUGAACUAUAUAAAACGUUAGAGAAAGAACGCUGGAUGUUUCUUGCAAUAAAAACAUCUAAAGGAAAUUUUUUUCAUGGACCCUUAAUAUACUACGCUGGGUCCUCAUUUUACUAUUCUUCUUGCGUGAACACCCAAAAAUCUUAUAUGGACCCCCAGAGAUCGUAUAGAGUCCGGUUGAGAACCACUGACUUAAAUCUUCAUUUCCAAAGACAGAACAAAUACUUUUUGUCGCUUCUAUUGCUGAAAAGCUCCAUUAGAAUUCAUUCAACAUGCAGUGUCUGAUGUGUCUCAGAAAAAUUCAUUUUAGAAGGGGUAAAAUCGAUAAAAAAUUUAACCACUUUGGUUAAACUAAUUUACAAAGAAUGUAAAAGAAAACAUUAGAAUGUAAAAAAAAAAAUAAUGCUCACUCAACCCUCUGAGUAGUUCUCCUUGGGGAAAUCCUUAAGAAGUCUGUUCAAGGCUGUGAUGCUGAUAUCCCCAACGUCAUGUGGGAAGUUGUCUCUUUCAUUUCCUUAUAUUUAUUUAUAUAUUAGUCUCUAUGUCUCCACAUUGUGCUAUGAAAGAUAGCAGUUCACUGUUUUUUUUUCUUGAUAUUAGCACAAAGUUGUAUCUGGGUGGAGAUGUUUAUUUAUUCGGGAUUGUUUUUGUCCCGGUUGCUGGGCUUGUGUAUUUGUCUGGUGGAGUUUCUCUUGUGUAUUCGUUGCUGUUUCGUUUGUGAGUUUUCCUUUUGCUGCUAUUAAUGGAGGUGGUAGUGGCGCUAGUACACAUGUGGAUUUAGAGUUGGUUGGGCUCGGUGUGGAACUGGUAUUGUUUUUUUUUUCCUUUUGUUUUUCGUUCAGUAUUUAGUAUUUUGAUUUUCUUGGUUCCCCUCCUCAUUACCAGAGAUGUGGUCGAAAGACUCAAACUCAGAAGUGGGUACAAUAGAUUGUUCGUGUGUGUGUGUGUGUGUGUGUGUGUGUGUGUGUCUUUGUGCAAGUAAGAGUAGAGGAAUUAGGUUCAGGUUAAGAGAGUGUUAGCAUAUUCACUGUGUGGCUUUUAUUUUGUUACAACCAUUGCGUCCCGCCAACUCAGUCGCUAUUUCAUGCUGAUGUUGGUCUAAAUUGAUGAUGGUCUAAAUUCUGCCACUAUUGUUCUUUUUCUUUGCUUCUACCGUUGCUGCUGCUUCUGUUGCUGCAUAUUGUUGUUGUUGCUGUUGUUGUUGUUGUUUAGUCGUUGUUGUUGUUGCUGUUGUUGGUUGUCUCGAGACUAAAGGUGAAAUUAUUCGGACUUUGAAUUGCCAGCUCUUGAAAAACGUUCUUAUCCAUUCCACUCCCAGGAGAAGCGAAGAUAGUAUCACACGUACUGCACCUAUCUGCGAAUCUCCUACCUCUCUCUUCAGUUUUCUGGCUUUUGAAGCAGAUCCUACAUUUGCAACAAAAUAUGUUUUUCAAAACAAAAUAUGAAAAUUUAUCUAAGAAAUUUGAGUUCCAAAGGCUCAAGAACAGACAAAACCAACCUGUCUUAUAAACCAACCAGCCCUUUAAGUCCUGGUGGACUUUAAGAAAUGUUAUUUAACAAAAUUUCAACAAUUAAAACCUGUUAAAAAUAUAAACAGGUGAAAGGUCGUACGAUCAACCCUACUAGUACUUAUUCUAUCGGUCUCUUUGCCGAACCACUUCGUUAUAGGGACCUAAGAACAUUCAGUUGUCAUUCAGUGGUGGAAAAACAAAGACACAAACACACACACAUAAAUACAGAUACACACACACA